rnacentral:rRNA from 1 species
GAUGAACGCUGGCGGCGUGCCUAAUACACGCAAGUCGAGCGAACAGAUGAGGAGCUUGCUCCUCUGACGUUAGCGGCGGACGGGUGAGUAACACGUGGAUAACCUACCUAUAAGACUGGGAUAACUUCGGGAAACCGGAGCUAAUACCGGAUAAUAUAUUGAACCGCAUGGUUCAAUAGUGAAAGACGGUUUUGCUGUCACUUAUAGAUGGAUCCGCGCCGCAUUAGCUAGUUGGUAAGGUAACGGCUUACCAAGGCAACGAUGCGUAGCCGACCUGAGAGGGUGAUCGGCCACACUGGAACUGAGACACGGUCCAGACUCCUACGGGAGGCAGCAGUAGGGAAUCUUCCGCAAAGGGCGAAAGCCUGACGGAGCAACGCCGCGUGAGUGAUGAAGGUCUUCGGAUCGUAAAACUCUGUUAUUAGGGAAGAACAAAUGUGUAAGUAACUAUGCACGUCUUGACGGUACCUAAUCAGAAAGCCACGGCUAACUACGUG